rnacentral:rRNA from 1 species
UGGGGAAUUUUGGACAAUGGGCGAAAGCCUGAUCCAGCAAUGCCGCGUGUGUGAAGAAGGCCUUCGGGUUGUAAAGCACUUUUGUCCGGAAAGAAAUCCUUGGCUCUAAUACAGUCGGGGGAUGACGGUACCGGAAGAAUAAGCACCGGCUAACUACGUGCCAGCAGCCGCGGUAAUACGUAGGGUGCAAGCGUUAAUCGGAAUUACUGGGCGUAAAGCGUGCGCAGGCGUUUGCAAGACCGAUGUGAAAUCCCCGGGCUCAACCUGAGAACUGCAUUGGUGACUGGCAGGCUAGAGUAUGGCAGAGGGGGGUAGAAUUCCACGUGUAGCAGUGAAAUGCGUAGAGAUGUGAGGAAUACCGAUGGCGAAGGCAGCCCCCUGGGCCAAAUACUGACGCUCAUGCACGAAAGCGUGGGGA